rnacentral:rRNA from 1 species
AUUGUCUGCCAUAUUAUACCUUAAGCACUAGAUAAAAUUCUAACUCUGAAGUUAAGAGGCACAAGGAUAAUACUUGGGUAUGAGACCGCUUGGAAUCUUGUGCUUUCAAAU